rnacentral:misc_RNA from 1 species
GAUGAAGAACGUAGCGAAAUGCGAUAAGUAAUGUGAAUUGCAGAAUUCAGUGAAUCAUCGAAUCUUUGAACGCACCUUGCGCUCCUUGGUAUUCCGAGGAGCAUGCCUGUUUGAGUGUCAUGAAAUUCUCAACCUUUUCAGCUUUCUUUGUUGAUCAGGCUUGGAUGUGGGAGUAUGCGGGCUUCUCAGAAGUCGGCUCUCCUGAAAUGCAUUAGCGGGACCUUUGUUGCCUGGCUUUGGUGUGAUAAUUAUUUACGCCAUUGUAGUCAAGCAGCUUAAAAUGAGGUUUCAGCUUCUAACCGUCUCCCCUGAGACAACUUUUUGACAAUUUGACCUCAAAUCAGGUAGGACUACCCGCUGAACUUAAGCAUAUCAAUAAGCGGAGGA